rnacentral:rRNA from 1 species
AUUGAACGCUGGCGGAAUGCUUUACACAUGCAAGUCGAACGCGAGAGGGGCUUCGGCCCCAAUUGAGUGGCGAACGGGUGAGUAACGCGUGGGUGACCUACCUUCGAGUGGGGGAUAACGUCCCGAAAGGGACGCUAAUACCGCAUAACAUCCUCUUUUUGAACAGAGGGAGAUCAAAGCCGGGGAUCGCAAGACCUGGC